AGAGUUUGAUCCUGGCUCAGGAUGAACGCUAGCGGGAGGCCUAAUACAUGCAAGUCGAGCGGUAGAACUAGCUUCGGUUGGUUUGAGAGCGGCGCACGGGUGAGUAACGCGUACGUAACCUGCCCUUCAGUGGGGAAUAGCCCCGGGAAACUGGGAUUAAUGCCCCAUGGUACUUUCGAUCUGCCUGGAUUGAAAGUUAAAGCUUCGGCGCUGAAGGAUGGACGUGCGUCUGAUUAGCUGGUUGGUGAGGUAACGGCUCACCAAGGCGACGAUCAGUAGGGGGCGUGAGAGCGUGACCCCCCACACGGGUACUGAGACACGGACCCGACACCUACGGGUGGCUGC
rnacentral:rRNA from 1 species